GCUUGCAGGCUCAAAGGGAGGGCGGCAUGUGUUGAACGGAACUUCAUAUCGGGGUGAUCUGGGCCAGGGUCUCUGGUUGCUGACUGGGAGAAGAGGCCAAGGUGUCUCAGGAUCCAGACGUGGAUGCUUCCUGAAUCUCCAUUUUCGCCCCCCAGUACAUAGUUGUAUAUUCUUCUUUGUGGAUCCUUCUAGUUGUGGCAUGUGGGACGCUGCCUCAGCGUGGUCUGAUGAGCAGUGCCAUGUCCGUGCCCAGGAUUCGAACUAAUGAAACACUGGGCUGCCUGCAGCGGAGCGCACGAACUUAACCACUCGGCCACGGGGCCAGCCCCUGGUGUCCUCUGUUUUAAUCUCUCCUGAGAAUAAACCCCCCGGCUCUCACCAGGCUGACGAGGAACAGAGAGCAGCUGCAGAGUGCGGAGGAGAGCUGAGGUCCAAUUACUUACUCUCAACCGAUAGACCUAUUUUCAGCCUCUCUCCUCUCCACUUCCCUGCUUCCACAGGCGCCAGGUGCUGCUCCUACCUGCGCCAGCUGGGCAUCCUGCGGUGUAAAUGCGAGUGAGCGUCAACUUUCCCUGCUGCAGACUUGAGAUUCUAGUUUGGGGGGGUUGCUAAGCCCUUCAUCUCCCUGUUUUCUAUCUCCAAAAUCUUGCUACUAUUGCCUCCCUUCCUUUUUCUGUCCAUCCUUUAUGACAAUUGCUUCACUGUUGUUUUAGUGGGGUUGUGAGAAGGA
rnacentral:lncRNA from 1 species